AGGAGAGGAGAGGAGAGGAGAGGGAUUUGAACUGUGUUCAGUUAUAUCUAAUAGUUUACACUACGUAUACAAAUAUCCUAAUUUAAGACUUGUACCCUCAAAUAUUUGUGAGUUAUACACCCAGUGGAUAUUCUCUGUGUUCACUAACAUUAAUGCUCAUGUACAGGGUUGCUCUGUACUGACUGUGCUAUUGUAUGAGAUUACAGUGCAUCACUGGCUCCAACAUUAGAGGUUGCAGAAAAUUAUUGGUCUGUGAGAUAUGAACUAAAGAAAUUUUAGAAAUAUCUGGUUUGGGCUGUCAUCAUUGCUUAGGAAGUUUCAUAAAGACCUUGCACUGAUGUCCUAAUUUUAGAAGUUUGGGGGUUUUUUGCCAAUGGUACUAAUGAAAUUUCUGCAAGUAAAAUGAUAACUGUUGUCACUUUUUUCCCCCCAUUUUUUGACAUCUUGCAUAUUAUAAACCAAAUUAAUUUGAAGACUUAGAAUCUGUACCCAUGUGCACAACAUCUUACAUAUCUUAAAAUCAUGAAGAAGAAAAUCAACCAAAUCUCUGUUUUCUGUCAGACACAUUCUUGGGAUUUUUGAGUGAGCCUGUAUUUUGAACAUCAAAAUUCACUGAGAAUGAGGAUUCAUUUCCUAGAGGGAAUAAGGAUUGUAGCUGUUUGUGCUAAGUGUUCAACAGAAAUGAGUGAAGCCUCUAACCCCACAAUUUUUCAGCCUGGAAACAACCGACACACCGCAAGGGAGUCUAUGUGGUGUUACUGUCUGGAAACUUCAAAGUACCCUUGGUCUCUGAUUUAUAGAAAAUAAACAAACAUCCUUUUAAGUAGCAUGCUGAUCAGCUGCAGAAAUUAUUUACUACAGCCUGUUUAGUGUAAGAAUUUAGGAAAUUCCUGAUGAAGAUAACAGAUCAUCUUUUGAAUCUUUGCAAUUUUUUUUCAGCUAUCAUGCAGAGACUAUCUUUCCUUAGGUAGAAUUAUUUUAUUUGCUCUCCUCCAGUCCCAUCAGCAUUUAUUUGGCCUGUCCAAAUCCUCAGUCACUUUGUUAUUUUCAUUUAUUUUGGGUUUUUAGGCCUAUAACGCUGUAUUUUCACUUUUCCAAGUGAGUUGUUUCCAUAUUUUGAGAAUAUGUUAAAAAAAAAAGUAUUUACAGGUCUGGAUUUUAUUUUAUUUUAUAUUCAUAUUUAGGUUCUUUCACAUCUGCAAGUAUUCUGAGGGAAUACUUGGGUUUUGUUUUUUUUCAUUAAAAAAGAUCUCCAAUUCUGUUCCUGUGGAUUUUAAAUAUUUUCAUGUUCAGUUAUCUGCAAAAUAAAAUUAGUCUUCAACUCAGUAUUUUUUCAAAAUAAAAAAGACUAUGGCUUUAGGAGUCAGACAGGAAGUUAUGCCCUUUUGACCCAAAGAACUAAGAGGAAGGUUGGGAGGAAGAUGAUAAAGAAAAAGCAAAGGAGAAUACAAUUUGUAUGCAGUGGUCAUGGAUGUCAAAAGUUUUAAAUUAUCCCAGUAGGAGGUACUUGGGGAGCAAUCCCAGGCACAAUGUGGAAACAUGUUGUAGUGCACCACACUUUAUUGACUUUUUCUCCUUAUUCCCUGGAACUGUAACUUGGAUAUAGCUAUUUCCAGACAUCUCACAGAAGACUGGGGUUUUGUGAUCCUUUCAACUGGUUAUGUGUGAAAUCAGUGUUUAUGAGGACAGAUUACUCCUGCACAGUAUUGUCAAUCUAGGAAGUGCACAUUACUGUGGAAGUGAAAGCCUUAGCUAUGCAAAUACUUGGGAUCAUAAUUUUUUUUCUCCCUGUAUUCUCUGGUUUGUUGGUUUUUAUCUUUUGUUUUUAAUCUGUUUUUCCUAAGCUAUUUAUAUUUAUGCUUUUUUACAUCCCCAGCCCUCCUCAUAAUUUUUCAGUGCCUGUGGGAAAGGAAAAUGAGGCAAAGCUUAUCUUUUUCCAUUCUGCAGAUGAAAAUCCAGAGGUUGCACACAGAGAGAUUCAGAGAGAUAGGGGAAGGAGUGCUGUUGCUAUGGGAGUCUUCUUUGCUUCCUCUCUUCUGCAAGAGUUUAUCCUUAAAACCUGAGGAAAAAUGGGUGUGCCCAGUAAGUGUGACAGCAAGGCAAGAAAUUAGAAAAGUCCCAUGGAUAAGCAGGCUAAAAGAGAAGAAUGGACAGAGGUGCCAGGACUGCAAAUUGACAUCUCCUUGGCAUGUCAAAGGAUGGGGAAAGGCAAAGAAUUGUGCUGACCCCCUGUUGCAACAUGUACAGGGGGAUGGUGACAUAAAGGCAAAAUGUACAGCUGGAUGGUGAGAAAAAUUACUCCCAGAACCAAGCAGCUGAGUCUCACUGUCAGUGUGGCCCAGUGCCCCUCCUGGCCUGGGGCAGCUGAAUGCAGAGUCCUCCUGGGACCUUGGAUCAGGCAGAAGGGUGUAACUAGUAAAGCAAAGUGGCAAAUGUAGAUGGACAUUUCUGGUAAACUUGGCAAUAUUUUCAAAGUCUAUGUUGUGACAUUUUAUGCUUUGCCAUAGAUAAUUGUCAAACACCUUGUACUAGCGAAUCAUUAGCUGCUGCACAGUGCAAAGCUUAUCUUUAAUUAAAAAGUAAUCCACACAUACUGAACAUUUGAAUUUGUGACCCUUACGGUUAUUAAAACAAACAUUCUUACAUCUGUUGGGUUCAAGUGUUAUUGGAGUUUAUGUUUUCAGGCACUUACACCAGGCAAAUCUGAGCUUAAUAAAUGUCUGAAGACUGAUGAAAGUGUGAUAGAGAGGAAUUUGGUCCAGUCUCUUCAAAAUCAGGAGAUCUAUAGAUGGGUGUAAUAGCCCUACUUCAUAUUUGCAUGGAGAGAUGUACACGAGUUUCUCUUAAAUUUAAUUACUUCAUUGUCUUUAUAAUAUUUGACAACUUUUACAUACACUUGUCCUCUUAAUAUCUUUGCAGUACAUCUAAAAAUAAGUAAGAUGUAAACCUGGUGAUAAGCUGAAUUGCAUGUUUCCACUUAAAUCUGCAUUCCUUUUUGAGAUCUUUUGAGUUUUUUCUUUAGAAAUGCCCACCACAUUUCCAGUAUACCUGUACUUAAUGCUCUUUCAUUUCCUUUGUCUAGCACAAGAUGCUGUUAUCCCACAAAGUCCCACAGAGAGUAGAGGGGAAAAAAGAGAGACAGAAAAAUGUUAAUUUAGGAAGUAAAUUUGCUCAGUGCUUUAUCCCAGCAUCCUGUCCUCCUACUGCUUUUCAUAUGACCUUUUUCACUGCUCAGAAUUCAUUACUAUUGUAAAAACCAUGGUUAUGUUUCUUUAAAAUUUUCAAGAAAUCCAUGCCCUGUUUUAAAAUAAAUGGGAUUCACAAAUGACAAAUCAUGCUCUCUUUGAAAUCCUUUUCCUUCAGGAGCAACUCCAGAAGUUUGUUAAUUAGACCCACUAAACCAAAACUCCACAGCAAUAAUGCUGUGCAGAAGCAAAGGAGAAGACAUCAUUAUCACUCUUUUAUUUACCACUUCAGGACAGCACAGGAACCCUAAUCAGCUCACAACUACAUUGUGUCAGGUGCUGUACACAAUAAACAGCAGUUCCUGCUUCAGGAAA